UACAGGGGGGGCAAGCGUUGUUCGGAAUUACUGGGCGUAAAGGGUUCGUAGGUGGCCAACUAAGUCGGACGUGAAAUCCCUCGGCUUAACCGAGGAACUGCGUCCGAUACUGAAAGGCUUGAAUCCGGGAGAGGGAUGUGGAAUUCCAGGUGUAGCGGUGAAAUGCGUAGAUAUCUGGAGGAACACCGGUGGCGAAGGCGGCAUCCUGGACCGGUAUUGACGCUGAGGCGCGAAAGCUAGGGGAGCAAACGGG
rnacentral:rRNA from 1 species